CACCUCGCACUCCGCGCCCCACGGGAGGGCCGCGGGCCCAGCCCGUCAGCUGCUCCGGCGAGCGGGGCGCCAUUUCCAGUGUUACACUUGAGACUACACCCAUUUAACCCCAUUCUGAAUAUCAAGGUUUUGGGCAAUCCUUCCAGUGCUGGCAUGCCCAAAUAAUAUGCUGAGUUCAACUGGACUUUGUUAGCAGUUUGCAGGCAGAUGAAAUGGAUUUUAUGCAUGUGAAGGAAGUUUAAGGGCAAAGGAUUUACACUACUGACCAUGGAGAACACAAGAUUGCUAAUGUGCAAGCUGGCUCUGUUUCUUAAAGCAAGGGCCAUGGAAUGCUGUCCCCACAAAUGCUGGGUUUGAAGGUGAAUUCUCAUUUAUCUCCAAAUGAAAAGCCAGCAACACCAGGCUGCUGGGACAGCUGAACACACACUGGUUUAUGUCCUGGAAGACAG